rnacentral:misc_RNA from 1 species
GUGGAUAUUUGAGCUUCUGAGCCUAGCUUUCACCAUAUUCUUCUCUGGAUUUUUUCUUUUAUAUGUUGAUUGGAAUGGGCUCCGCAACGCCAAAUGUGGAAUGGAUGCUGUGGAAUCUGGAAUUAAGCCUUGUGAUCUGGCCAAUGAAGCUCUUCAUCUGCACCCAUUGAAACCUCUUACGCUCUUUAAAGGCACUGUGUUGGGUUACCUGGGGAUAUUUUCUGUCUAC